UACGGAGGGUGCGAGCGUUGUCCGGAAUCACUGGGCGUAAAGGGCGCGUAGGCGGCGCGGGAAGUCAUCGGUGAAAGUUCAGGGCUCAACUCUGAAUCGGCCGGUGAUACUCUCGUGCUCGAGCACUGUAGAGGCAGGUGGAAUUCCGGGUGUAGCGGUGGAAUGCGUAGAGAUCCGGAAGAACACCGGUGGCGAAGGCGGCCUGCUGGGCAGUGGCUGACGCUGAGGCGCGACAGCGUGGGGAGCAAACAGG
rnacentral:rRNA from 1 species